ACUCAAAGGAAUUGACGGGGGCCCGCACAAGCGGUGGAGCAUGUGGUUUAAUUCGACGCAACGCGAAGAACCUUACCAAGGCUUGACAUCGAGUUGAAAAAUCUAGAGAUAGAUUCCCUCUUCGGAGCAACUCAGACAGGUGGUGCAUGGUUGUCGUCAGCUCGUGUCGUGAGAUGUUGGGUUAAGUCCCGCAACGAGCGCAACCCUUGCCUUUAGUAGCCACCAGGUAAAGCUGGGCACACUAGAGGGACUGCCGUGGAUAACACGGAGGAAGGUGGGGAUGAUGUCAAAUCAUCAUGCCCCUUAUGUCUUGGGCUACACACGUGCUACAAUGGCUUUUACAAUGUGAAGCAAAGGGGCGACCCCAAGCCAAUCACAAAAAGAAGCCUCAGUUCGGAUUGCAGUCUGCAACUCGACUGCAUGAAGUUGGAAUCGCUAGUAAUCGCGAAUCAGCAUGUCGCGGUGAAUACGUUCCCGGGCCUUGUACACACCGCCCGU
rnacentral:rRNA from 1 species